UAUUCCACGCACUAUGAAUGUC
rnacentral:siRNA from 1 species